CACUGUGAUUUAAAAUAAGUUACUUGGCCACAUUGCCUGAAAAUUUUCUUGCCUCAUUUAAUUUGUACUGAGUGAAAAAAUUGAGUUAUCCAAAUAAAGCUAUAGCUUCCACUUAAAAAAUAAAGUCAAGUAACGGUUCCCUUAAUUGAAGUCAUGUACAGUAAGUGAAAGCACUAGAAUAUGUUGCUAUAAGUGCUUUCCAGCUCUUGUGACCAUAUGGUUGUCGGUUUGGCCUGUUGUUAUAGAUCUGAGAUCCAGCCUGCAGAACCAGCUGCGUUCAUUUGACUAAUGAAGGUAAAUAUUCUGUAACUGUCAAUAUUUACCCUGAAAAAAAACAACUGGCAUUUGUUUGAGGUUGAGUUAAAAGACAAAAGCCGUCCUUACAGCUUAUGGAUAUACAUGACAAUGAUGAUGUUUCAUCCUCAUGCAAACUGAAAGAUUAUACUGACCACCACUACUUCAUACCUGACAGACAAUCGUCUAUUUUUAUGCUUAUAGGCAAAUAUGACUUGUUGCUUUCCCACAGCAGUAUCACAGGUACGACAGGGGGCUUACAUCAGAGGAAAAGCAAAUAAGUGUCAACUCUAGUGUUUACAUUUUGUACGUUUUUGGGAGGAACAAUAGAAAGAAAAAAGGAGGGGGAUAGGUAUAAAGAGGGGUGGGGGCUUGGAGAGAAGGUCUGUCAAGCUCUAUAUAUACAGGUUUGUGUCUGUGUUCUCUGCUCAGAUCUCUUUCUUCCACCAUCUCUCAUCUCGACCUCCACAAGCUUUCAAACAACUUUGCCAACAUGUCAGGGUACGAUGAUGCUCCAAAGCUCUUGGCGUCAAUAUAUUUGCUCAAGGAUGUCUUUGACCAGUACGCUGCAAAAGGUGGAGACCCACAGACUUUGACCAAGAAAGACCUCUCUGAGAUGCUCCGCAAAGAGCUUCGUUUGAAUGUCUCAGACUGCCCUGAGGCAGAAGAAUACUUCAACCGACUGGAUGCCAACGGGGAUGGUACUGUUGAUUUCGAGGAGUAUCUCACUCUGGUGGGAGGACUCGCUUUGAUCCUAAGCGCCAUGUACAAUCAACAGUAAUCCAUGUACAGUCACAUGUAUAAAAUAUAUUCCAUCAUCAUAUGCUCUGACAAGGAAAACAUGGUUAAUAAACACACAGAUGAAUCAUAGAUGGGUUAUUAUGUAGUCCUGCAGGACUUGAAAUGUGAUGUCUCUGAGUGUGUUUUGCUGAUUCUGAAUGUCAGAGGUGAUUAACAAAGAAGCAAAAAUAAAUGUUGCCUCCUUUUA